GUGCUCACUUCAGUUAGAACAUGUACUACAAUGGAAUGACAGAGAAGUUAGCAUGACCCCUGUGGAAGGAUGAUACGAAAAGUGUAAAAGGCAUUCCAUAAUUUU
ensembl:snRNA U6 U6 spliceosomal RNA